AACGAACGCUGGCGGCAUGCCUAACACAUGCAAGUCGAACGAUGCCUUCGGGCAUAGUGGCGCACGGGUGCGUAACGCGUGGGAAUCUGCCUUUCGGUUCGGAAUAACUCAGGGAAACUUGAGCUAAUACCGGAUAACGUCGCAAGACCAAAGAUUUAUCACCGAAAGAUGAGCCCGCGUAGGAUUAGCUAGUUGGUGAGGUAAAGGCUCACCAAGGCGACGAUCCUUAGCUGGUCUGAGAGGAUGAUCAGCCACACUGGGACUGAGACACGGCCCAGAAUCCUACGGGAAGCAGCAGUGGGGAAUAUUGGACAAUGGGCGAAAGCCUGAUCCAGCAAUGCCGCGUGAGUGAUGAAGGCCUUAGGGUUGUAAAGCUCUUUUACCCGGGAAGAUAAUGACGGUACCGGGAGAAUAAGCCCCGGCUAACUCCGUG
rnacentral:rRNA from 1 species